UACAACCGUCAGAUGAUGACGGCUAUGUUGGCGUCUUGGACUAACCGCACGGAUCCACCACAAAUGGGACCCCCACCACCACCUGCGGGAGAACCCCCACACGUGCCCACGUUCGAUGAAUGGGUGGCACUAGGCAGUGAUGGUCCGGGGACCGGUGGCUCGACUCCUGCUCCGUCGACCCCAGUCACUCCGAUCUGGC